UACGUAGGGGGCAAGCGUUGUCCGGAUUUAUUGGGCGUAAAGCGCGUGUAGGCGGCUGGGUAGGUCCGCUGUGAAAACUUGAGGCUCAACCUCAAGAGGUCGGUGGAAACCAUCCAGCUAGAGUCCGGAAGAGGAGAAUGGAAUUCCUGGUGUAGCGGUGAAAUGCGCAGAUAUCAGGAGGAACACCAGCGGCGAAGGCGGCGCUCUGGGCCGGUACUGACACUGAGGAGCGAAAGCGUGGGUAGCAAACAGG
rnacentral:rRNA from 1 species